rnacentral:ribozyme from 1 species
UUUUUCUUUUUCUUUUUUUCUUUUUUCUUUCCUUUUUUUUUUAACCUGCCGUUGAGAUGGAGAGGCUGCAAGAAAGAGUCCUGAAGAAGAAAAGCCUGGAGUGCUGGAAGUAA